rnacentral:lncRNA from 1 species
GGGACAUCCACCAUCAGCCCCUGGUUCCCUCUCUUCCCACCUCUGCUGCAGCUCAGUAUGUCCAGUUUCUCCAGGAUUGCUGUAAGUUCUACUGUCGGUGCUUGCAUUACUUUUUUGAUGACAAGAAGUGUUCGGAGGAGGCUGAGCAGUUCUGUGCAUCCCAAGGAGCUCACCUGGCAUCGGUGUCCUCUGAGGAAGAGCAGGUUUUUGAGCAAGGACCAGCUGGACAACUGGACAAUGGGAAUGGGCACACGGAGGACUGUGUCCAUCCUCAGCAGAUGUGGAAUGACAUAUAAUGUGAUGCCACCUACCAGUGAUUCUGCAAGAAAUCCGUGGGUCACGAAGUGGCCUGAGUGCAGAGCAGAGCCGAGGGGUCCCUCCCAGUGGCCAGCUCUGGGCCUCCUCCGUGCUGCCUGUGAGCCUCUGGCCUCUGCUUGCUCCCUGGGGCUUCCACUUGGCCUCCUGGGUGUCCUGCCUUGAACUGUUGUUUAACCCUUUGGAGUCAGGAUAGAAUAGGGACCUAAGGAGGAAGGGGCAGAAAAACCUAACAAGCCUGGCAAGAGAAACUCAGGCAUUGGCCUGCUGGCUAGCAUGAAUGUGCUGAGCACACGGGCAAAUUAGGAAGGGGCAGCUGACAAGCACACAGCCUGCAGCUUACAGCACACAGCACACACCCAGCGGCUCUGUGAUCAGGAGGCAACCUCAUUACAUGGCGGAAAGAGGGACAGGGCGAUGGGGGCAGCACCUCACCCCCACCCACUUUCAGGUUACUUCUUGCCUCGUGGACAGUGACCAGAGGCCGAUCACCCGUGGUCAGCACAGCCUGCAGAGCUCGGGAACAACAGCCAGAAGCCAGUCACCACCCACCAGCAUCCCCUAACCAGCCCCUAACCUGCUAAGGGAAUCGGAUCACCCAGUAGAGUUCCCCUGCUGUGUCUCAAGUAUGCCAAUCAGGGCACAACUGGAGUCCUGUACCCCCAUAUAUCAUGGGACCCCAGGGCAGAACAUCACAUUUCACCCCUUUGCCUGCAUCCCUGCAGGUGCACUUACCUUCUUUUGCUUCACCCCAAUAAAUUUUUUGCUUGCCUGAUUAAU